GUACACUCCUGCGGGAGGCAGCAGUGGGGAAUAUUGGACAAUGGGCGCAAGCCUGAUCCAGCCAUGCCGCGUGAGUGAUGAAGGCCCUAGGGUUGUAAAGCUCUUUCACCGGAGAAGAUAAUGACGGUAUCCGGAGAAGAAGCCCCGGCUAACUUCGUGCCAGCAGCCGCGGUAAUACGAAGGGGGCUAGCGUUGUUCGGAAUUACUGGGCGUAAAGCGCACGUAGGCGGAUCGAUCAGUCAGGGGUGAAAUCCCAGGGCUCAACCCUGGAACUGCCUUUGAUACUGUCGAUCUGGAGUAUGGAAGAGGUGAGUGGAAUUCCGAGUGUAGAGGUGAAAUUCGUAGAUAUUCGGAGGAACACCAGUGGCGAAGGCGGCUCACUGGUCCAUUACUGACGCUGAGGUGCGAAAGCGUGGGGAGCAAACAGGAUUAGAAACCCGAGUAGUCCCA
rnacentral:rRNA from 1 species